AUGAUGGAAAAACUGGUUUGCAGGUUUACCUUGGGUAGGUCAGUGGCAGCACGGAUGCCCUUCCCCACGGCCUCCCCGUCCGGGUGGAUCCGAGCCACAUGGCGCCACAUCCUCUCCCACGUCUCCUCGUCCACUGGGAGGCCACCUCGGUUCACAUAGAAAGGCACCCCUCCGUCCCUCAACUCUUCAUCCCCUUCGUCCUCCUGCUCCUCAUCCCUUUCCUCCACGGAACCCAUGGUGGUCCUCAGCAUCUGGAGCAACUGAGUCCUUCAGCCAGAAACGGAUCUCUUGUUCCACUUUUAGAGGUUUCUAUACGAUCAUUCCGGAUUAUGGCACGACUGAUUCCAAUGUUUUAAGAGGGACUCAAACAAAUGCAAUUGUUUCCAUUCACCGGUCACCCCGUUUCCAGUCACACGGAUGUGAGCAUAAAGAAACCCAUAAAGAUGAGAUGGGAUUCACCGCUGUUUUGCCAGUGGAGCAGGAUUUAUUCGAAAUCAGCUGUGCGAACAAAACAAAAUCACUACAGCAGCUCGUCUCUCCUCAGCGGGAUCUCGCGCCAUCUGAGGAGAGUACCGCGAAACUGCAG